rnacentral:rRNA from 1 species
AACUGAAGAGUUUGAUCAUGGCUCAGAUUGAACGCUGGCGGCAGGCUUAACACAUGCAAGUCGAGCGGGGGAAGGUAGCUUGCUACUGGACCUAGCGGCGGACGGGUGAGUAAUGCUUAGGAAUCUGCCUAUUAGUGGGGGACAACAUCUCGAAAGGGAUGCUAAUACCGCAUACGUCCUACGGGAGAAAGCAGGGGAUCUUCGGACCUUGCGCUAAUAGAUGAGCCUAAGUCGGAUUAGCUAGUUGGUGGGGUAAAGGCCUACCAAGGCGACGAUCUGUAGCGGGUCUGAGAGGAUGAUCCGCCACACUGGGACUGAGACACGGC